rnacentral:lncRNA from 1 species
ACGCAUGAUCAUGAUAGUAUAAAUAUCACCCUUCUCAAGGUUUCUGAAUAAAAAAGGAAAACUGGAGUCUCCUUACUUGGGCCCACAAGAUUUUCCCCAAGUGUGAGAUCAUUUCCUAACUCAUCUCAGCCCCCUUAGCUUCUAGGUAUUUCACUGCUCAAGUAUCUUCCCUGAACUCUUACUACUUGUUCAGGCUCUGAAAGAUCAGCUCCAUCCCAACCUUGGUCUUGCUGGGAAAAAUACUGUGCACCCCCUCCCCCUGAAUUACUUAUUUUCUUUCCCUUUGAGUCUUCCCAAAGGACUGUUUACUCACUGAGUAAUAGAAUGUUCUUUCACAUUGUGCUCAAUUAAACUCUGACCAAUUCAUCCUUAGAAGUGACCAAUUUAAUCAUCCAAGGAUCAACAUAUUACAGUUGCUGGAAAUAGGCAUUUAUGAUGCUUAUUGCAAAUGCAAGCCGGUGUUUGGAAUCUGGUGUCAAAUGAUUGCAGCCAGGUCAGAUCCCUCAUAUUAUUGUCUGAGAUAAUAUUUUUUCCUAAUAUUUGCCUAAGGAUGGAAGAAUUUCCAUUUAGGGUCAAACUUACUCUACUACUUUCCAACGCAGGAAAGAAAGGACAGAAGCAGGCAAGCUGGCAAGAAGAAGCGGAAAGGACGCAAACAGAAAGAAAAAAGAAGAACGAAAGCAGAAUCAAGAUUCAGAUUCACGUAGACCAGUGGUCGUAACAGGUAUAUGUUGAUGCCUCCGCGAAAAAGAAGAGACAGGAAAAAUCAAAGAAGUGACAUAAAGUUCUUUUCUUGAAAAAUAACAAGAAAAAAGGCAAAACCAAUGGUACAUUUCUGUAAGAUACAUUUCGGGAAGAAGGAAAAUGAUCUCAUGAGAAAUGUCUGUGAGAAGAAAUCAUGCAAGAAGAAAUGCAGCACAAAGAAAGUAGUUAAAAUGAGUGAAAAUGUAAACACCAUAGACUCUAUUGAUCAUGUCCAGUUUUUAGUGUUUAAAGAAAACAAAUGAAACCUACAUUUUGUGGAAGACCAAGCAAGCUGGGAACGGAAUGAGCAGAUUUAAAACAUUGUAAAGCUCUUUAAUGAUUUGGAAGAAAGAUAACAUGCUAAUAUACUCUGAACUGUUUUCAGUUACAUGUCUAUAAUGAUUUAAAGAAUACCAAUUCAAAAGUAUAGAAAUUAACUGUAAAACUUCAUGGAAAAGUAAAAUGAGAAGUUAAAAACAAACAAAGGCCUCUACUAGUCUGAAAAGAGGAAAAUAAAUUAAAUAAAAAAACAAAAACCA